CUUUACUAGUGAGAUCUUUCACAGGGCAAUGGUUCAAAUAUUUUAUUUCUUUAAAUCUUAGAUGUUUAUUUCUUAAUAUUUACUAUUUCCAAAAUUAAGAUGUGACUUAUAAUCUGUAUAUAUAUUUAAUACAACAUUUCUGCCCCCAAAGAUGUACUAUUAAAUUUAAGCUGAAUCCAACAUUUUAAAGUGUCUUAAUAUCUAGAACUCACAGGUAUUAAAAUUCUGUCAUAUCCUCUGCCAUAGUCAACAAUUGUAUAGCCUAUAAACACUAUUUAAACACUCUAGGUUUGUUCCUGAUUAUGAUACGCCUGUAAUUAAUGUUUUGUAAACCAUAUCACAACUUCUCUAAUUUAUCUGCUUUGUUUUUUAAAUUCAGGUAUUUAAUAGCUAGAAAGGUUUGUUUGUUUGUUUGGUGGAAGUAAAUUGACUAGCACCCAUCUGGAUAACUUAAAAUGGGGAAGAAAAGAUGCGGUUUCAAGUUUUGGGUGCAAAGACUCUUAUUUAUUUGAGUUGUGGAGGUGGAAAAAGCCAUGUUGGUGGAAAGGACAUCUCAGGAAGAAGAAAUAUUGGUCAAAUACCACAGGUGCCAACCAUUUUCUCCUCUGGAAUAACCAUCUUCACCUCCUUCUCUGGCAUUAUCGUUUCCCACCUCAGCCUUGGGGACUCUCUUGCCUCCACCCUCAUCCCCUGGCCAUGAGAAGGCUCCACUUCUGAGUACCGAAGUUCCAUAUACCAGUGGUCAGCAAGUUGACCAGGUCACCAUUGCUGCAGAAAGAAACAAAAUGUGCUUCUGUGAGAUCUCUGUGAGAACUCUGUGAGCCUGCAGGAUGCAGAUAUCACAGAAAGCAACUUUUCUUGCCCUCAUUCGUGACUCUCUGGGGAACGGGCAGCUGCCAAGCACAACUUCUCAAGCCCCCAUGGCAAGCAUUCUUCCCCAACUGCCCAGGUAGUGUUUAUGUUAUAUUUUUACCAUAACAGUCAAAAAUAUGCAUAUUCUUUUCAGGAACAAACUGUCUGCAAAGGACUUUGCCUCUCAGAAACUUAUGCUGGUAAGAAUGAACUGGAGCUGAGCUUGAGCUUUCCAUUAUCCCUCCCUGUCUCCCACUCACUGUAGACUCAAUUCCUACAGAUCAUUCUUUCAGGGCUUGGAACUGAGAAUAUAGGACAUCACUAUCAUUCCAUUCAUAAGAAGCAAUUUU
rnacentral:lncRNA from 1 species